rnacentral:rRNA from 1 species
UACGAAGGGAGCUAGCGUUGUUCGGAAUCACUGGGCGUAAAGCGCACGUAGGCGGAUUUGUAAGUCAGGGGUGAAAUCCCGGGGCUCAACCUCGGAACUGCCUUUGAUACUGCAAAUCUCGAGUCCGGUAGAGGUGGGUGGAAUUCCUAGUGUAGAGGUGAAAUUCGUAGAUAUUAGGAAGAACACCGGUGGCGAAGGCGGCCCACUAGAUCGGUACUGACGCUGAGGUGCGAAAGCGUGGGGAGCAAACAGG